rnacentral:tRNA from 1 species
GGGGGUGUAGCUCAGUGAUAGAGCAUGUGCUUAGCAUGCCCGAGGCCCUGGGUUCAAUCCCUGGUAUCUCCA